rnacentral:rRNA from 1 species
UACGGAGGGUGCGAGCGUUGUCCGGAAUCACUGGGCGUAAAGCGCGCGUAGGCGGCUUUGCAAGUCGGGUGUGAAAUCCCCAGGCUUAACCUGGGAACUGCAUUCGAGACUGCAUUGCUAGAGUAUGGGAGAGGGAAGUGGAAUUUCCGGUGUAGCGGUGAAAUGCGUAGAUAUCGGAAGGAACAUCAGUGGCGAAAGCGACUUCCUGGACCAAUACUGACGCUCAUGUGCGAAAGCGUGGAGAGCAAACAGG